rnacentral:rRNA from 1 species
CUACGGGUGGCUCCAGUGAGGAAUAUUGCACAAUGGGGGGAACCCUGAUGCAGCAACGCCGCGUGGAGGAUGACGCAUUUCGGUGUGUAAACUCCUUUUAUAUGUCAAGAAAAUGACGGUAGCAUAUGAAUAAGCACCGGCUAACUCCGUGCCAGCAGCCGCGGUAAUACGGAGGGUGCAAGCGUUACUCGGAAUCACUGGGCGUAAAGGACGCGUAGGCGGGCUUGUAAGUCAGGUGUGAAAUCCUACAGCUUAACUGUAGAACUGCACUUGAAACUACGAGCCUAGAGUAUGGGAGGGGCAGAUGGAAUUAGUGGUGUAGGGGUAAAAUCCGUAGAUAUCACUAGGAAUACCUAAAGCGAAGGCGAUCUGCUGGAACAUAACUGACGCUAAGGCGUGAAAGCGUGGGGAGCAAACAGGAUUAGAUACCCUAGUAGUC